AUUGAACGCUGGCGGCAUGCCUUACACAUGCAAAUCGAACGGUAACGGGCCUUCGGGUGCCGACGAGUGGCGAACGGGUGAGUAAUACAUCGGAACGUGCCCGAUCGUGGGGGAUAACGAGGCGAAAGCUUUGCCAAUACCGCAUACGAUCUACGGAUGAAAGCAGGGGACCGCAAGGCCUUGCGCGGACGGAGCGGCCGAUGGCAGAUUAGGUAGUUGGUGGGAUAAAAGCUUACCAAGCCGACGAUCUGUAGCUGGUCUGAGAGGAUGAUCAGCCACACUGGGACUGAGACACGGCCCAGACUCCUACGGGAGGCAGCAGUGGGGAAUUUUGGACAAUGGGCGCAAGCCUGAUCCAGCCAUGCCGCGUGCAGGAUGAAGGCCUUCGGGUUGUAAACUGAUUUUGUACGGAACGAAAAGCCUUCUUUUAAUACAGGAGGGUCAUGACGGUACCGUAAGAAUAAGCACCGGCUAACUACGUG
rnacentral:rRNA from 1 species